AUUCUAAUCUCAAUCUUCUGUUCCAGAUCGAAGUCUCAGAUGGUUGAAUUAUCCUUCUGCUCCAACUCUAGAAACCUUGUCUCUGCCUUUAUUGUCCCGGCUACGUAACUACGUACCUUUCAAAGUUCUCGAUAUCUUGAUCUUCGUUUCCAACCUCCCACAACAUCAGUGAACACGUGCAUAUUCAGCUUCCCACCGAAUUACCUUCAUGGAGCAAGAUUAUCCAAUGGAAAGCGAGGCGGGACAAUGGAAAGGAACGCGGUUAGAAAUAGUUUUGGAUCGAGCAGAGAGAGAGAGAGAGAGAGAGAGAGAGAGAGCAGAAUUUUUGCGUCGCUUGUCGACGAGGAAUGUCGGUUUCGAGGUUCCAUGAAGACAUAUCAACCUUUCCACGAUACACGCGCACCCACAUUCAUUGUGCGGCAAACCCGAUAUCUCAUCGUAGGUGGAGGAGGCACGCCACGAGUUAUUGACUCGUUUGAUCCUGGGUUACGCCCCGACCUACCUUAACUCUGACUUACUAUCUUGCCACGAGAGAGGUUUCGGCCCACGACGCGACGCCGCUGAUUUCUGCCCGAUUCGAGCUCCUCGAGGAAAAUCGUCGUUUCUUUCGAAUAACGAAUAAUGAAAAUCCUUUUGGACGAGGAACCAAAGAAUAGAAGGACACGAGUUGUUUUUGUCGUCGUUUGAUUGAAGAGAAUUCGCGCUAUGGAUAUUUUUAUGUUAGCGUAUGUAUUUUUUAAUUUCAGUGGUUAAAUUGAUGAUGAGACAUAAUUUUGAGGAGGAGGAAUUUUAGGAUUUGUUUGCAUCGUUUUGGAAUGCAAAAAUGAAACGUAAAGCAAUCAUUGGGCAAUGAUUUCCAUUAUAAUCCUGAUGUGAUACGCUUGAAACCAAUUUCCCCGAUGAACUAAGCAAAUUUACAAAUAUAUAUCGUAUGAACAAAUGAAACAGGAAUUAGCUUCUCUUUUGGGGUUCAAGCUAGGUGGUCCAUUCAAGUGGAUCCAUCAAUUGGAGGAAAAGCACAGUAGCUUAUCCCGGUAUAAUUCCAACCUGGAAGGUAUUUCUUCUUCUCCCUUCGUUGGAAGCACGAAGUUCCACGCGUCGAAUCGCCGACCUCCUCGAAGAAUGCCACACGUUACAAUCGUGCUCCAAGAAUCGAUCGAACGAAUCGGAUUCGCUUAUAGAAUUGGAAUUCCACAUUUCUUGUCACCCAAAUCGUAUUACACAUUCAAUGAGUUGACCAACGAUCGAUAUUCGAUAGCGUGUGACGCGUUAAUUUCCUUCCAUCGAUCCCUGUAAACGAAAUCCAACACCUGCAAAAUUUAAUAUUCGAAUAAAGUUACUUCGAUAAUUUAUUCAAAAGAUAAUAAUACGAAAAACGGACCAACUAUAAUAACAACGAACAAAUAGUUAUUUUGAUAAGUAAAAAAAUUUAAAGUAACUUUAUUCAACUAGUUAAUUUUUCAACUACUAUUUUUAAUAAUGCCCAAUUCUGGCGAAAAAUCGUGGAGCGUGGAGAGACUUGCCCCUAGGAGGAGAUGGCACACCUGCCCUCGAACGUGGGGAAGAGGAGAGAGGAGAGUCGCGCGCGUAUGUUGGAAGAUGCGCCGACAGACACGCCCUGGUUAAACGGUGAUGAAUGCGCGAAAAAGGGGGAGGAGGGGGUCGAAAGAUCGGUGGCAAAUCGACGCUUGUCCCCUUUUCCAUCUCGAAUCCGCCACGGGAAUGCAAAUGAUGUAUCCGUCUCUAGGAGGAUACCCAAGUCUCCUCCGUAAAACACCGUGACUUAUCAUGCUUAAUUACACGGUCUACCGUUGAAUUAUCGCCGUUUUACGAUAUUAAAGAGGUGGCAAUUAGCCGCGUUCGAUGCCGUUUUCGUUCCUUCCUUCGGGGUCUAGAUCCUUCCUUCCAUCCAAUCAAGAAUACGUCUGUGUUCGCGACGCCUGUAUAAUAUAUGUAACGCGGAAUAUAAAGCAGCAGGGCGUACCCUUUUUGAAAAUAACACGUUUCUUCGAGAGAUAGAGAUAGGCUAGGUUUCUACGUGAAAUUGUUUAUCGGGUAAUCUGGUGCACUACCCUACAGGUAUCGAAGAGUGUAGGUUCCUUGCGAGAGAAAUAUCGGUAUAGAUAUCACCUAUUACCGCAAUUAUACCUCGUAUUUCAUUUACCAUGAUUCUUUCGAUAUACUAAAAAAAAAAAAAAAAAAAAAAAGGAAGACACGCAUACGAACGUAUUUUUUUUUUUAACGAUUCAACCACGUUGACAGAAUGGAUUAAUUGUUCCAUUGAAUCUUCCAUUGAUGGAAAUGGUGAAUAACGCACGCUUGUUUACUUAAAAAAAUCGGCCGUAUCAUUUUUCUCAUUGCGCGUUGUCGGCUCAUUUUUUCGAGCGGUGGCGCUCGAAGCCGAAAAGGGGUGGAAGAUACAUAGCGCGAUGCCCUGAGCCGACGCCGACCCAUUUCUCUUUCGCGCCUCCUUCUCUCUCUCGUUAACGCGAACCUAUCGCCGUUUCAUCCACGGUGCGCGUUUAAACGCCCCCGGUCCCGUCAACCUGAUUUCACUAACGAACCCGCCAAUUUAUAUUAUCGAUCGGAUCGUGUGUCCGCAGUAGGCCAACUUGACCGAGAAUUCAUCGUUAAACCGGUACCCGGCAGCCACGCUCCACCCUUAUCGUUUGCAUUCACCAUCGUAUUGCCGGUGGCCGUUUUUUGUUUUCAAACCGUCUCUCCAACUUUCCAUCUCUUCGAAUCUCUUCUAUCGAACGAUAACCGGUCCUCUGUCCUUCCACCUACUCUAAAUAUAUAUAUAUAUAUACAUACAUACAUACAUGAUCAUUCACAAAUCGAGGAUGUUUCGAAAGAAUAGGAAUAAGGCCGAAUCGAAA